rnacentral:misc_RNA from 1 species
AAGUCGUAACAAGGUUUCCGUAGGUGAACCUGCGGAAGGAUCAUUAAUGAAAGAUAAUUUUUUGGGUUUUUAAAUUCCAAAAAAUAAUUCACCUUUUGUGCAUUGUUAUUAGAUAUACUUUGGUUAGAGCUUUGAUUUCAUUUAUUGGAAUCAACUUCUUGCUGACUCUAUCCUUUCUGAGGACAGUUGGCUAUGAAGCGGCCUAUCAAGGUUUUUUAUCAAACUCUUGUAUUUUGUCUGACCUAAAAACAAAUAAUUAAAUCAUAACUUUCAACAACGGAUCUCUUGGCUCUC